ensembl:lncRNA
GGAAAAACAGCACUUUAGGCUGAACUGCAGUUGUUUUUAAACGUGCUGACUGCUGAACAGGAAAGGGUCGCAAAAGGCUGCAGAUUCCAAAACAGUGACGUGGGACUCAUUGGAGGGUAGUGUUUGCAUUGCUUUGCUCUGUCUGACAGCUCGUUCACACUCGGAGGAUUAAAAGUGCUCUGUGGACGCUCAAAGUCUUUAUUCUCAUGAAACUGAAAGGAAUCGUGUCUCCACAUCUGGAUUGUUUUAAACGGGGCAUAACACCGCCCUCUCCUCCACUCUUCCCAGCCUGAGAACAGCUUCCCUCCCUGCUCACAGCAACAACUAUUUCCGCUGGAUUUACUGGAAGGAG